rnacentral:tRNA from 1 species
GUGGAUUUAGCUCAGGCUGUGGAGUGCUUGCCCAGCAAGCAUGAGGCCCUGGGUUCAACCCCCAGUUCCACC